AGGUUAACCGUAUAGGGGAGCCGUAGGGAAACCGAGUCUUAACUGGGCGAAUGAGUUGCAGGGUAUAGACCCGAAACCCGGUGAUCUAUCCAUGGGCAGGUUGAAGGUUGGGUAACACUAACUGGAGGACCGAACCGACUAAUGUUGAAAAAUUAGCGGAUGACUUGUGGAUGGGGGUGAAAGGCCAAUCAAACCGGGAGAUAGCUGGUUCUCCCCGAAAGCUAUUUAGGUAGCGCCUCGUGAACUCAUCUUCGGGGGUAGAGCACUGUUUCGACUAGGGGGUCAUCCCGACUUACCAACUCGAUGCAAACUGCGAAUACCGAAGAAUGUUAUCACGGGAGACACACGGCGGGUGCUAACGUCCGUCGUGAAGAGGGAAACAACCCAGACCGCCAGCUAAGGUCCCAAAGUCAUGGUUAAGUGGGAAACGAAGUGGGAAGGCUCAGACAGCCAGGAUGUUGGCUUAGAAGCAGCCAUCAUUUAAAGAAAGCGUAAUAGCUCACUGGUCGAGUCGGCCCGCGCGGAAGAUGUAACGGGGCUAAACCAUGCACCGAAGCUGCGGCAGCGACACGUAGUGUUGUUGGGUAGGGGAGCGUUCUGUAAGCCUGCGAAGGUGUACUGUGAGGUAUGCUGGAGGUAUCAGAAGUGCGAAUGCUGACAUAAGUAACGAUAAUGCGGGUGAAAAACCCGCACGCCGGAAGACCAAGGGUUCCUGUCCAACGUUAAUCGGGGCAGGGUGAGUCGACCCCUAAGGCGAGGCUGAAAAGCGUAGUCGAUGGGAAACGGGUUAAUAUUCCCGUACUGGUGGUAACUGCGAUGGGGGAACGGAGAAGGCUAGGUUGUCCGGGCGACGGUCGUCCCGGUUCAAGCAGGUAGGCAGAGUGAUUAGGCAAAUCCGGUCACUUAAUGCUGAGAUGUGAUGACGAACCACUAAGGUGGUGAAGCAAUUGAUGCCCCGCUUCCAGGAAAAGCCUCUAAGCUUCAGGUUACCAACAAUCGUACCCCAAACCGACACAGGUGGUCAGGUAGAGAAUACUCAGGCGCUUGAGAGAACUCGGGUGAAGGAACUAGGCAAAAUGGUGCCGUAACUUCGGGAGAAGGCACGCUGGCGGUAGGUAAAGUCCCUCGCGGACGGCGCUGAAGCCAGUCGAAGAUACCAGCUGGCUGCAACUGUUUAUUAAAAACACAGCACUGUGCAAACACGAAAGUGGACGUAUACGGUGUGACGCCUGCCCGGUGCUGGAAGGUUAAUUGAUGGGGUUAGCGCAAGCGAAGCUCCUGAUCGAAGCCCCAGUAAACGGCGGCCGUAACUAUAACGGUCCUAAGGUAGCGAAAUUCCUUGUCGGGUAAGUUCCGACCUGCACGAAUGGCGUAAUGAUGGCCAGGCUGUCUCCACCCGAGACUCAGUGAAAUUGAACUCGCUGUGAAGAUGCAGUGUACCCGCGGCAAGACGGAAAGACCCCGUGAACCUUUACUAUAGCUUGACACUGAACAUUGAGCCUUGAUGUGUAGGAUAGGUGGGAGGCUUUGAAGUGUGGACGCCAGUCUGCAUGGAGCCAACCUUGAAAUACCACCCUUUAACGUUUGAUGUUCUAACCUAGGCCCAUAAACUGGGUCGGGGACCGUGUCUGGUGGGUAGUUUGACUGGGGCGGUCUCCUCCUAAAGAGUAACGGAGGAGCACGAAGGUUGGCUAAGCAUGGUCGGACAUCAUGCGGUUAGUGCAAAGGCAUAAGCCAGCUUGACUGCGAGAGUGACGGCUCGAGCAGGUACGAAAGUAGGUCUUAGUGAUCCGGUGGUUCUGAAUGGAAGGGCCAUCGCUCAACGGAUAAAAGGUACUCCGGGGAUAACAGGCUGAUACCGCCCAAGAGUUCAUAUCGACGGCGGUGUUUGGCACCUCGAUGUCGGCUCAUCACAUCCUGGGGCUGAAGUAGGUCCCAAGGGUAUGGCUGUUCGCCAUUUAAAGUGGUACGCGAGCUGGGUUUAGAACGUCGUGAGACAGUUCGGUCCCUAUCUGCCGUGGGCGUUGGAAGAUUGAGAGGGGUUGCUCCUAGUACGAGAGGACCGGAGUGAACGCACCACUGGUGUUCGGGUUGUCAUGCCAAUGGCAUUGCCCGGUAGCUAAGUGCGGAAGAGAUAACCGCUGAAAGCAUCUAAGCGGGAAACUUGCCUCGAGAUGAGUCUUCCCUGUCGCUUUAAGCGACCUAAAGGAACGUUUAAGACUAAGACGUUGAUAGGCUGGGUGUGUAAGCGUAGCGAUACGUUGAGCUAACCAGUACUAAUGAACCGUGAGGCUUAACCUG
rnacentral:rRNA from 1 species